rnacentral:tRNA from 1 species
GUGGUAGCUUAAUGGUAGAGUGCUUGCCUGGCAUGCAUGAAUUCCUGGGUUCGAUUCCUCAGUACCACA